rnacentral:antisense_RNA from 1 species
CUUGAAGGAGCCCAGCCACACCGGGUUCUCCGGGUCGCGGUCCCGCCCAUAGGUGGCGAACAGCGCACCGGCCUC